rnacentral:rRNA from 1 species
UAGGGAAUCUUCGGCAAUGGACGAAAGUCUGACCGAGCAACGCCGCGUGAGUGAAGAAGGUUUUCGGAUCGUAAAACUCUGUUGUUAGAGAAGAACAAGGACGUUAGUAACUGAACGUCCCCUGACGGUAUCUAACCAGAAAGCCACGGCUAACUACGUGCCAGCAGCCGCGGUAAUACGUAGGUGGCAAGCGUUGUCCGGAUUUAUUGGGCGUAAAGCGAGCGCAGGCGGUUUCUUAAGUCUGAUGUGAAAGCCCCCGGCUCAACCGGGGAGGGUCAUUGGAAACUGGGAGACUUGAGUGCAGAAGAGGAGAGUGGAAUUCCAUGUGUAGCGGUGAAAUGCGUAGAUAUAUGGAGGAACACCAGUGGCGAAGACGGCUCUCUGGUCUGUAACUGACGCUGAGGCUCGAAAGCGUGGGGAGCAAACAGG